UCGUGUUCAAUGCACAAUCGCAAUUUCAAUUACCAUGUAAAACCUAAAUUAAAAUCAUGUGUAGCAGUUUGUUUUGGUUUGUCUUCGUCUCUACUUUCUGUUUAAAGUUCCAUAUUCCUACGCACAAUUAUAAUGAUUGAUUUUUUAUUAUGAAUAAAAUAUUAUUUAAUAAAUCAUACAAAAAUUCACAUUAAUAUAAUUUUUGAUUGGAAACGAUCAUAAAUUCUAUAAAUUAUCGGUAUUUUUGUAGGGAAUAUUUAGGCGUAGUGAUAUCCUGAUUUUAGCGGAAGUUGUUGACAGGCUGAUCACUGAUCUUCACAAAGUGAAACCAAAUGAAAUUUAGUAAAACAGUUAUUAAUAUUUGAAAAACAGAUUGACUUGUGUACACUGAGGUACCAUAUUUAGGAAGCACUUCAAGUCAACAGACAUCUGGUAAAGUAAAGAAAAAACAGAGAAAAUCCUUGACAGUUGAAAGUGACACAGAGAUAGAUGAACCAGUGGUAACAACAACCAGUAAAAUUGCUAAAAGAUCAAGACGCAAAUGUUCUGGACCAAAAUUUGUAGGGAGAGAAAUAGUACAUGAAUGGGUGGAGGAAAACAGCAACAGAAAGUGGUAUAAAGGCAGGGUUAUUUCUGUUAUCAAGAAUAAAGAUGGAGACAAAGAUGCUGUAUAUGAAGUUCUAUAUGAAGACUGUGAUGAACCUUAUGAGAUUGAUCAUUUGCUAGAGGAUUUUACAAAUUCCUCUUUGAAAUUGAUUGAUUUAUAGAUUUUUAGAAGACAGAAGAUAUACAGGGCAUUUUUUCUACAAAAGGACUUACAUUUGGUAUUAUAUUACUUUUAUUUGACAUUUUAUAUUUAAAUAAAUGUGACAUUAUGAUAGUAAUGACCAUGACGAACACAUUGAUAUGUAAUAAGUCAUAAAU